rnacentral:rRNA from 1 species
GGAGGAACACCGAUGGCGAAGGCAGAUCUCUGGGCCGUAACUGACGCUGAGGAGCGAAAGCAUGGGGAGCGAACAGGAUUAGAUACCCUGGUAGUCCAUGCCGUAAACGUUGGGCGCUAGAUGUAGGGACCUUUCCACGGUUUCUGUGUCGUAGCUAACGCAUUAAGCGCCCCGCCUGGGGAGUACGGCCGCAAGGCUAAAACUCAAAGGAAUUGACGGGGGCCCGCACAAGCGG